CUCUGUGACUCUACGGGAGGCAGCAGUGGGGAAUAUUGCACAAUGGGCGCAAGCCUGAUGCAGCCAUGCCGCGUGUGUGAAGAAGGCCUUCGGGUUGUAAAGCACUUUCAGUUGUGAGGAAGGUGGUGUCGUUAAUAGCGGCAUCAUUUGACGUUAGCAACAGAAGAAGCACCGGCUAACUCCGUGCCAGCAGCCGCGGUAAUACGGAGGGUGCGAGCGUUAAUCGGAAUUACUGGGCGUAAAGCGCAUGCAGGUGGUUUGUUAAGUCAGAUGUGAAAGCCCGGGGCUCAACCUCGGAACUGCAUUUGAAACUGGCAGACUAGAGUACUGUAGAGGGGGUAGAAUUUCAGGUGUAGCGGUGAAAUGCGUAGAGAUCUGAAGGAAUACCGGUGGCGAAGGCGGCCCCCUGGACAGAUACUGACACUCAGAUGCGAAAGCGUGGGGAGCAAACAGGAUUAGAUACCCUGGUGA
rnacentral:rRNA from 1 species